AUCGCUUCUUGGCCUUUUGGCUAAGAUCAAGUGUAAAACUGUAAGAUAGUAAAUUAGUGUUGCUGUAAGCCAUGGAGUUUGUGUAAAUUUAUUAACAGCAGCAAUAAUGAACAUAUACCAUCACACAAUAAUAUAAUUUGUUGGCAUAAU
rnacentral:snRNA from 1 species